ACAAAGCACGGGUGUCUGAAGAACUGCACAUGUGAUAGCGGGUGUAUAUAAGUCUUGAAACUGUAGUAGUCGAGAGGUUUGGUGAGGCUCCUUUGAGGUCCCUGCUUCUCUCAAAAGCUUUAGUUAAAUAAAACUGUGUUUGACUCACUACUAAAUUCUAUUCUGUAUUAUUUUACCUACAACAAAUUGGCGUAGUCGGCAGGAUCCUGUCAAUGAUCUGGACAGCGUGGCCAUGGCCCAGACAUCGGGACAGGGUACUGAACGCAAGGUUUUGUGAGUCAAACUACAGUUUAUAAUAAUCUGCUGCUGAGAGUGAAUGAGUGACUUACCUGCUGAGAGUGAAUUUGUGACUGCUGUUUGAUUUGAGCAAAUUGGGUAGGAAAUUCUCAUCUCUAACUUGCUUCUUGAACCAGUUAAGAGGAGAAAUCCCCUACAUGAAGGUCAGGACCUUUCUAAGCGUGUGGAGACUGGGGAAGACGUACCUGGAGUGUGAUGCUCAAACGGGAGAUGAGGAUGUGAUGUGUGGAACCGCCACAGGUCAGUGAAAUAAGUGGGAUACGGGACUUGAUGACUCGCACACUAGGUAUCACCAGACACAAACAGAUUCGAUCCUGAGUGGAACGCUACUGGCACAAGGUGAAUACGUGACCAGACGAGUAAGAGCAGUCGAUAGAUCGGUAGACCCUGGGUGAGGCACGGCCAGCGGGUAAUGCGGUCGGUCAAGAGAUCGGAGGAAGAUCUCUUGGAGGUGAAUCACGGAGCAGCGUCAGACACAGACAGCGAGACCCCAGGUGGAAACUGGCAUGAGGCAGACAGUCCUGGAAUUUACCUUAGAGCAACUGAAUGCCAGUAGGGAGUGGCCUGGAGGCUUGGAACAGAGCAGGGAUGGCUGUUGGACUGGGGUCUUGGCAUGGGCGGUCGGACCACAUGUGGAGACCUUGCACUGUGCUGCAUCAAUGUAAAGUUUAUUAGAAAUUUUUUACCUGACUGUAACGUUAAUCCUUUAACAAUGUCUUAUUUCUAUUUUUGUUAAACUCAGUAAAGUAAUGCAAUUACCUUUUAUUCCUCUUUUGUAUCCAACCUUUGUGUGUUGGUACUUGUACCUAAGAUGGUGCCAUAAGUGCCAUUGUAAAAGCUUUUCACUGUACUUCUACAAUGGAGUACAUGUGACAAUAAAGGAUAUUCUGAUUCUGAUUC